rnacentral:rRNA from 1 species
UACAGAGGUGGCAAGCGUUGUUCGGAAUUACUGGGCGUAAAGGGCGCGUAGGCGGUUGGAUAAGUCAGCUGUGAAAACCACGGGCUUAACUCGUGGCCUGCAGUUGAGACUGUCUGGCUUGAGUGUGGGAGAGGAGAGUGGAAUUCCUGGUGUAGCGGUGAAAUGCGUAGAUAUCAGGAGGAACACCGGUGGCGAAGGCGGCUCUCUGGACCACAACUGACGCUGAGGCGCGAAAGCUAGGGGAGCAAACAGG